rfam:Glycine soja cultivar W05 scaffold36_93, whole genome shotgun sequence.
UGGGUUAGGAUGAAGCUGAAUAUAUAAUCCAAUGCUUGAUUUGAGUAACUACGAGUGAUGUAAAAAAUUUCUAUGCUUCUGGAUCUAC